rnacentral:tRNA from 1 species
GGUAAAAUGGCUGAGAAUUAAGUGAUAAAUUGUAAAUUUAUAGAUGAAUUAGAAUAUUCUUUUACCA